AGAAGGCUGUGUUUUUCUCUGGUGCCCCCGCGUGAUGGGCGGGAGCUCAAUCGCAAACGUCGCUAGUCCUAGAAACAGGCAAGGAAAGAGGAAAAGAAUCCAUUCACUACACCAAAUUCAGGAUAAAGAUUCUGCCAGUGGAGCGCUCCCGACCACCUUUUCUUUGGUGCUGCCUGAUUCAAAUCACAGGUGGCGAUGCCAAGGCACAUUUACCUAUGCUGGGUUUUCACAGCUUUUCAACAUCAACCACCCUGGUCUCUCUGCUGAGCUGGGCUCCCUACCCUAAGACAAGGAUGCAGAAGCAGACAGGUGAGCUCAAAGACCCUGGGGCUAUGGGGCUGCCUCUCAGAGCCCCAGUUUUGUGUUUUAUUAGCACUCAAUUGUUUGACUAGCACUGAAUUAUUUCGUAUCUCUGAGCUUCAAUUUUCUCACCUGUAAAAUGGGGAUAGUAGUGCUGGUUUGUUUAACAGCUGCCUCAACCCAGUGCUGGACACAUGAUUAGCACUUGACAAGUGAUACCUGUUCGUGUUAUAAUUGCCUUAAUGCCGACAGUUUUCUGCAUAGCGCCUGCUCAAGUGCUGGGUUUAGUUCCCUUUCUCCUAAGGGAAGGAGCUGAGAAACUGUUACAGGCAGACCUUGGAGAUAUUGCAGGUUCAGUUCCAGACCCCCACAAUAAAGCAAAUACCACAAUAAAAUGAGUCACACAGAUUUCUUAGUUUCCGUGCAUAUGUAAGUUACAUUUACACUAUACUGUAGUCUAUUAAUUGUGCAACAGCAUUAUGUCUAAACAAACAAUACACACACCUUAAUUAAAAAAUACUUUAUUGGGGCUUCCCUGGUGGCGCAGUGGUUGAGAGUCCGCCUGCCGAUUCAGGGGACGCGGGUUUGUGCCCUGGUAUGGGAAGAUCCCACAUGCCGCGGAGUGGCUGGGCCCGUGAGCCAUGGCCGCUGAGCCUGCGCAUCCGGAGCCUGUGCUCCGCAACAGGAGAGGCCACAACGGUGAGAGGCCCGCAUACCGCAAAAAAACCAAAAAAACAAAAAAACUUUAUUGGGACUUCUGUGGUGGCGCAGUGGUUAAGAAUCCUCCUGCCAAUGCAGGGGACAUGGGUUCGAGCCCUGGGCCGGGAAGAUCCCAUGUGCCACGGAGCAACUAAGCCCUUGUGCAACAACUACUGAGCCUGUGCUCUAGAGCCCGAGAGCCACAACUGCUGAGCCAACGAGUCACAACUACUGAAGCCCACACACCUAGAGCCCGUGCUCCGCAACAAGAGAAGCCACCGCCAUGAGAAGCCCACACACUGUGAUGAAGUGUAGCCCCCGCUCGCCAUAACUAAAGCCGGUGCGCAGCAAAGAAACCCAACACAGCCAAAAAAUAAAUAAAUAAAAUAAAAUAAAUACUUUAUUGAUAAAA